GAUAAUCCAGGAGGAGGUUGUGUUAUUGCCCCAUCUUACAGAUGGAGAAACAGAGGCACAGGCCAAUGACAUCAUUUAUAUGGCAGCUGUGAGAUAGAGAGUAAAGAUUUGAAUCUGAGAGGCCUGACCCCAGAACCAUCUCUUAAUGUUGGAGGGCCAACCCUGGUUAUGCCAAGUUGAGAGUCAGGACAGGGUUCGAGUCUGCUUUUAAGUGACCGUGAGCCAGUGAACCCCCUCUCUGAGCCUCAAUUUCCUUCCUUCUCUUCCUAGAAUCUGAGAAUGUGGACAAGUAGACUUUAAGGAGUUGCUGUGAGAACACAGGAGGUGGUGCAUUUAAAGUGCCUGGAACACAGAAGGGGCUUGAGGAGCACCGGCCCUGGCCCUGCCAGGCCUCUGAUGGCUGCCGACACCUCUCCCAGGGCACAUUCAGUCUCCACCCCACGCCCAUCUGCAUGCCAAGCUGCCAGCCUUGGCAGGUGUUUAACAAGCAAACAAACAUUUGAAGAGAAAGUCCAUUUCUGAGAAGUAUCUGGCUCCCCUGAGAUGCCAAAUCAAAAUUUCCUCUCUCACCUCCUCUGAUUGACUUUGGUUUUGAUGUUGUUUCAGCAUCACCUGGAAAAGCUGGGUCACAGAAAUGGGUGAUUUCCACUGUUGCUGUCACAGAAGUAGCACCUGUGGGGUCUCUAGUGUAAGCCCCCCUCUAACAGUGAAACUGCAUGGGGCGUCUCAGCCUCGUAGAGUGCCAGGUGACCAGUCAAGGGUGCUGGAGAAGGCCACAUCUGUUAUGGCUCCCACCUUAAUCCAUCUAGGAUGUCUGCUCCAAAGUUUCCAGUUGCUCAUCUAGCUUGGGACCAACCAAGACUAUGACUGCACCUCACCAGAAAAGGAUGGAGUAUUGGCAGGAUUACGGAGGGAACUGAGCCCCAUUCGGUAGCUGGAAUGAGAGACAGCCCAAAUGAUCAACUCCCACGUCUUCCCUUACUUUGGUUGUCAGUAGUUAUAACUAUAUACCAAAAGCACUUCAUUUACUUACAGACAUUAUGGUGGUAAGGCUGCU